UACAGAGGUCUCAAGCGUUGUUCGGAUUCAUUGGGCGUAAAGGGUGCGUAGGCGGCGCGGUAAGUCGGGUGUGAAAUCUCGGAGCUUAACUCCGAAACUGCAUUCGAUACUGCCGUGCUUGAGGACUGGAGAGGAGACUGGAAUUUACGGUGUAGCGGUGAAAUGCGUAGAGAUCGUAAGGAAGACCAGUGGCGAAGGCGGGUCUCUGGACAGUUCCUGACACUGAGGCACGAAGGCCAGGGGAGCAAACGGG
rnacentral:rRNA from 1 species